rnacentral:rRNA from 1 species
UACAGAGGUCUCAAGCGUUGUUCGGAUUCAUUGGGCGUAAAGGGUGUGUAGGUGGCGCGCUAAGUCGGGUGUGAAAUUUCGGAGCUUAACUCCGAAACUGCAUUCGAUACUGGCGUGCUUGAGGACUGGAGAGGAGACUGGAAUUCUCGGUGUAGCAGUGAAAUGCGUAGAUAUCGAGAGGAACACCAGUGGCGAAGGCGAGUCUCUGGACGACUCCUGACACUGAGGCACGAAAGCUGGGGGAGCAAACAGG